UACGUAGGGGGCAAGCGUUGUUCGGAAUUACUGGGCGUAAAGGGCGCGUAGGCGGCACAGCAAGUCGGGAGUGAAAGCCCGGGGCUCAACCCCGGAAUGGCUUUCGAAACUGCUGAGCUAGAGUACAGAAGGGGCAACCGGAAUUCCCAGUGUAGCGGUGAAAUGACGUAGAGUAUUGGGAAGAACACCUGAGGCGAAGGCGG
rnacentral:rRNA from 1 species